GCGCCCGUAGCUCAACGGAUAGAGCAUCUGACUACGGAUCAGAAGGUUGGGGGUUCGAAUCCCUCCGGGCGCAC
rnacentral:tRNA from 44 species